rnacentral:rRNA from 1 species
UACGUAGGGAGCAAGCGUUGUCCGGAAUCAUUGGGCGUAAAGCGCGCGUAGGCGGCCCCGUAAGUCCGCUGUGAAAGUCAAAGGCUCAACCUUUGAAAGCCGGUGGAUACUGUGGGGCUAGAGUACGGAAGAGGCGAGUGGAAUUCCUGGUGUAGCGGUGAAAUGCGCAGAUAUCAGGAGGAACACCAAUUGCGAAGGCAGCUCGCUGGGACGUUACUGACGCUGAGACGCGAAAGCGUGGGGAGCAAACAGG